UCCCUGGUGGCUCAGAUGGUAAAGCGUCUGCCUGCAGUGCAGGAGACCCAGGUUCAAUCCCUGGGUCGGGAA
rnacentral:tRNA from 1 species